rnacentral:rRNA from 1 species
UACGGGGGGGCAAGCGUUGUUCGGAAUUACUGGGCGUAAAGGGUUCGUAGGUGGCCUGCUAAGUCAGACGUGAAAUCCCUCAGCUUAACUGGGGAACUGCGUCUGAUACUGGUGGGCUUGAGUGCAGGAGAGGAACGCGGAAUUCCAGGUGUAGCGGUGAAAUGCGUAGAUAUCUGGAGGAACACCGGUGGCGAAGGCGGCGUUCUGGACUGCAACUGACACUGAGGAACGAAAGCCAGGGGAGCAAACGGG